CAACCGGACCGGGUAACCGCGGGCGCAAGGACGAAAGGUUGCGCCUGAGGAAAGUCCGAGCUCCAUAGGGCAGGGUGCUGGAUAACGUCCAGUGAGGGUGACCUCAAGGAAAGUGCCACAGAAAAGGAAACGCCGACUGGAUACAGCAAUGCUGGUCCAGGGCAAAGCUGAAAAGGUGCGGUAAGAGCGCACCAGCGGUUAAGUGAUUAACCGGCUUGGUAAACCCCACCCGGAGCAAGACCGAAUAGGAGGGGGCGUCUGCCCGGCAGACGCAAGAAUGGCCCGUUCUUCCCUCGGGUACGGUCGCAUGAGGCGGCAGGUAACUGUCGUCCCAGAUAAAUGGUUACCGCCGACUGCCUCCGCAGUCGGUACAGAACUCGGCUUAUAGGUCCGGUUGGUAA
rnacentral:RNase_P_RNA from 2 species